GAUAGGAUGCCAGAAAAAUGGGUUAGGUUUAGGAUCUAAAUAUGAAUAACUUUAUUCUCCUAUUU
rnacentral:tRNA from 1 species